CCCACACACACACACACAAUUAUCGCGUCUAGCUACGAUACCAUGCAUGCAUGCAUUGUGUUUAAUCGAUUACAAAUAUCUUCUAUACCUAUAGCAAUCAGAAGUUGAGUAAAGGAUGGUUACCUCACAUUGUUUAGCUUGAUCCUGGAGGAAAGGUGAGGGUGCAGGCGUGCAGUAUUCCACAAUAAGCGGCGGUGAUUGUGGUCGGAAAAGAAAAAAACACUUUUAUUGAACCUGGAAGUUAGUGACUUACAGCCUUGCAGACAAACGACCUUAAAUUCUCUCGAAACGUGGAAGUGUCUUCUUUUUCAGGGAGUGCAGACUCAAACCUAGUCUGUACGUCUAGCUAUGUAGGUAUGCGCAGGAGUGGCGUCGGAACAUGGGGGCUAGGGGAUUAUAACCCUCCAGAAAUAAAAGUAGAGGGGUGCUAAGUCCUCCCAGAAUCGAUCAGAGUAAGACAGUAAUAUGAAGAUUCCUGAUCACUGCAUAAAAGGCAAAUUAGUGAACAAAUUUACCAACAUUGUGUUCUUUCCACAUUAUGACGUCAUACUGUGUAUCUAGCCUAUAUAACCACAGCUAUAACUGAACAGACAACGGCAAAAUCUUAUCUAUUUGUUAAUUCCUUAAUUAAGUAAAUUUAAAGUACAAAUUUCUGGCCUGAAGUUUUAAAAGGCGAAAACUUACACCAUUCAGACAAAAAAUGUUGACGGUAUUUGACCGAUUUAGUUAAAGUUAUAAACCGAGUAGGAGGUUUAUAAUUGCAAUUAGAGGUCAGUUCCAAAUGACUGUUCUUCAUUCAUUACUGAGACAAACACAUUAGUACAAUUAUGCAAACACAGUAUAAGUUGUUAUAGUUUUUUAAUUCUAGAUAUUAUAAAAGGUUCAGUUAACAUUUAUCUAUAAAUACAUGUUCCUGUAUUGCUUUGCUGCUCGGUGGACCAGGUUUUCUUGCAUUUGUUAAAUAAAUAUGGUCAUUAGUAAACUACAUGCUAUAAUCUUGUCUAUACGAUCAUAAAAAAAGUCACCGGUUAACCUAGGAAUACUAGCAAUGUUUACCAAAAAUUGAUGCUCCUGUAUCAAUUGCUUCCUGGUGGGCCAGGUUUUCCAGGGGUUCCAGGUAUUCCAGGUGUUGAGCCUGCAGAAAAUUUAACAAACCACAUCAAAUAUAAUACAUAGGGGCUUAUCACCCCCGGGAUACCAGUCGAUGCACCGGUAAGCCCUCGAUCGUUUCUCUAUACAAUUGUGUAAUUUGGUAAGAAA
rnacentral:lncRNA from 1 species